rnacentral:rRNA from 1 species
GGGUCAGUAGGUUGGUCAUGCCACUGGUAUGUACUGGUCUCACUGAUUCCUCCUUCCUGAUGAGCCGUAAUGCCAUUAAUUUGGUGUUGCGAGGAAUCUGGACUGUUACUUUGAAAAAAUUAGAGUGUUUAAAGCAGGCAUCCGUCUGAAUACAUUAGCAUGGAAUAAUAAAAUAGGACGGUUUGGUUCUAUUUUGUUGGUUUCUAGGAUCGACGUAAUGAUUAAUAGGGAUAGUUG